GACGAACGCUGGCGGCGUGCUUAACACAUGCAAGUCGAACGAAGUGGCGAACGGGUGAGUAACGCGUAAUCAACCUGCCCUUCAGAGGGGGACAACAGUUGGAAACGACUGCUAAUACCGCAUACUGAAGGAGGGGAUUGCGUCUGAUUGGCUAGUUGGAGGGGUUACGGCCCCACAAGGCGAUGAUCAGUAGGCCGUUCGGGAGGAUGUACGGGCAAAUUGGGGCUGGAGCACGGGCCCGACUUCCACGGGAGGGCGCCGUUGGGGAACUUUCCGCAAGGACGGAAGUCCGACCGGGGCAAGGCCCCGGGGUGAUGACGGGCUUCGGGUUGUAAAACCCUUUUAAUCCGGACGCGGUACCGGAAUAGAAAGCCACGGCUAACUACGUGCCAGCAGCCGCGGUAAUUC
rnacentral:rRNA from 1 species